rnacentral:tRNA from 1 species
GCUCCCAUAGCUUAAACCAAAGCAUGGCACUGAAGAUGCCAAGACGGUGACCACCCUCCCUGGGAGC